GGCCCGUUGGUCAAGAGGUUAAGACACCGCCCUUUCACGGCGGUAACACGGGUUCGAAUCCCGUACGGGUCA
rnacentral:tRNA from 3 species